CCUACGGGAGGCAGCAGUGGGGAAUAUUGCACAAUGGGGGAAACCCUGAUGCAGCGACGCCGCGUGAGUGAAGAAGUAUUUCGGUAUGUAAAGCUCUAUCAGUAGGGAAGAAAAUGACGGUACCUGAUUAAGAAGCCCCGUCUAACUACGUGCCAGCAGCCGCGGUAAUACGUAGGGGGCAAGCGUUAUCCGGAUUUACUGGGGGUAAAGGGAGCGUAGACGGCAGCACAAGUCUGUCGUGAAAUGCCGGGGCUUAACCCCGGAACUGCUUUGGAAACUGUGCAGCUAGAGUGCAGGAGAGGUAAGUGGAAUUCGUAGUGUAGCGGUGAAAUGCGUAGAUAUUAGGAGGAACACCAAUGGCGAAGGCAGCUUACUGGACUGUAACUGACGUUGAGGCUCGAAAGCGUGGGGAGCGAACAGGAUUAGAUACCCCUGUAGUC
rnacentral:rRNA from 1 species